GGUGAUGCCAUCCAACCAGCUCAUCCUCUGCCACCCUCUUCUCCUUCUGCCUUCAAUAUUUUCCAUUAAGUCAGAAUGGCAAUUAUGUCAGUACUAAGCAUCAUCAAGAGAAUACCAAUAGGAUGGACAAACUUACUGUGGUGGUGCUGUAAUGCUGAGAAGUUGGUUGUCUUUCUUCUGCUCCCCGCUGAUCUGAAAUCAAGGAGUCUGGGUCCCUUCUGGAGGAGCAUUAACAGAGAGAGGAAGGACUACUAAGCUGUGCCAGAAGUUACCGUUAGUGUCUGAGGGGACGUUAUAUACCAUUUUAGCUCAAGAGAAUUGAUUCAAUCAUACUAACAGAUUGAAGAAGCAAACAGAUAUUGUGUGACAAG